rnacentral:rRNA from 1 species
UACGGAGGGGGCUAGCGUUGUUCGGAAUUACUGGGCGUAAAGCGCACGUAGGCGGCUUUGCAAGUCAGAGGUGAAAGCCCGGGGGCUCAACCCCCGGAAUUGCCUUUUGAGACUGCAUCGCUAGAAUUGUGGAGAGGUAAGUGGAAUUCCGAGUGUAGAGGUGAAAUUCGUAGAUAUUCGCAAGAACACCAGUGGCGAAGGCGGCUCACUGGCCCGGUACUGACGCUGAGGUGCGAAAGCGUGGGGAGCAAACAGG